rnacentral:lncRNA from 1 species
AAAGCAGAUUUGAAUAUCCGACCUUGUCAGUCAGCUGUUGUUACUAGGCCAAGGAUGGACGGGUGAUAUCGACACCCGGACCAUGAAAAAAGUUUAUAUGUUUUUUUGUGCAACGUGUAUGUGGCCGUUUCUUUCUGUUUUUUUUGCUGUUUGCUGUUGUACGGAGGACUAAGCUAGCAUUCAAAAUUUAAAAAUCAAAUGUACAUUCCUAAGAUGCACUUUUUUACACCUCUAUGUAGCGGUACUUUUUUAGUAUUUGACCAUUAGCUCCGAUGAUGACGUUUAUGUCGAAAGCGCUCAGCUAAGGAAAUAAAAUUAUUUACACACUUUGA